UUAGCCAAAAGAAAUGGUCAAUUUUCCAUUUAUUUACCAUUUCUCAUCCAUUUUUCUCUGAUUUUCCAUUUAUUGACCAUUUAUUUUCAUUUUUUCUGGAGUCAACUUUCUCAAACCAUUUAUUGAAACCAUUUAUUAGCCAUUCAUACAGAAAAAUGUUUUUAAAUGGCCAUUUCUUUCCAUUGAUUCAUCAUUUAUUUAAAAAAUGGCAUUGAAACUGAAUUGCCUUUGCUAAGUUCACCAUUUUCCUUCCAUUUUUUUUCUAGACCAUUUUUCCCGUUGAAAUGGUUAUUUGAAGAAGCUUGAUCUACUGUUUAGUAUGUGUUGUAUACGUACUGACAGCUAUACAUAGAAUUGAUACCCAAACCAUCAAUUCCUUGUAAUUACAUGUAUUUCCUUGAUCAUGCAAUGAAAGAAAUUAAAGGAACAUACAACAAUAAAACAACUUAUAAAUUCAGAAGACAAAAAACUUCAGCAUGUUUAUUGUGCAUAAAUAUAUUACAUACAUAUAUAUUAAAUACAAUUAAAGCAAUAUUUAUCAAUUGCCAGUUGAGUAUGCAUUCAAUUAAUAACGUCGACAUAUUUUGUGUGGUGGAGUCGUACAUCAUGAUACUGGCAGUAUGCUUCCAGAAUCUGAGUGCAAGAUGUAAGCCAUUCAAAGGUCAUUAUGACUGGUGUUGGUCAUUUAAGUUUCCUCUCUGGUUCAGUCAUCCCGGCAGGGGGUAGCGUUAUCUCUGAAACUUUCCACUGAAGCCACGUCUGUUACUUGCGUGGCAGCACUUGUACAGUGACCAAGGAACAAUAAUGGCCGAUUUAUUUCAAAGAGGAGAUCCAAUUUUUCUGGUGUUUUUGGUGCAGACACAGGCAGACCAAGGCAGAGAAUUGUGUUCUUAGUAGAGGAUAUAAUGAUUCCGUUUCUUUUCUGACAUCCACUCUGAUAUGACGAUGGCAUGGUGGACAUAUAAGCCUACAGGAUUAUCUGGAGCAGGCUAAAGUGUUCUCAUCUGGCAAGUACAAGCAUGCAGGGACAACGAAAAUGAAUGUGGAGAACUUGAACUCAAAGUCCCAAACUAAACUCAUUCAAAACAAAACUGGAAAUAAGUGUUUUCAUAGGAGAAAGGGCAACAGCUCUUUUUUAGUGAGCAAGUGAUUAAAUGCACAGACGAUUUAAUGUAUGUAUUGAGCAUGUUUCUGAACAUUUCCUGGGAGGAUCCAACUUUUUAUAAAGAAUCAUUUCUAUAUUGUGUAAUUUAAUGUUUUAAAAUGGAUAUUAAAUGCAUUUGUUAAAACACCAUUUCUUUUCAUUUUUUUCUCUCAUGUUUAAAUGGCUAGGAAAUGGUUAAUUUGCAUAUUAACUGUCCCAGAAAAAUGGUGUUUCAAUGGGUUUUAAA